ensembl:lncRNA
UUAAAAAAAAAAAAAUUCCACAGAACAAUUUCUCGCAGUCUUUAACAAAAAGAGUUCUAGAGAGAGGGAGCCUUUAUUAUCAGCCCUAGGCCGAUGUUUUUCCUACUCAUCUUAGUCAAGAAAAAAUCAAAGGGAGAAUUUGUUACCUCUUAGGGAGCGGCUUAAUUGUUUGCACGGUCCGUAGGCUGCCGAGAGAAAGGCAAAAUGCUGUGUACCAAAAACUAUAAACUGCUUGGACUGUUCUGUUUGAUAAAGGUUCAUAGUUAAUAAAAAAAACUUUCUUUCCCUUCUGCUCUGGGCUAGAUCACGAGCCGCUGACUCUGAUAGCGCCAAGAUUAUGUUCUAUCUCAUACAUAUUUUUCUCUUGGCUGAGUUGAGUUGUUUCAGUGUAAUUUAUUUGUCAGAGGAAGUCAUUAUCAGGAGAAAAGGCAAUUUCUUAGUAAUUAAAGCCAGUCUGAAUUUCUGGAUUGCAAGUUGAAUUUACUAGUUCAGCAGAUCCGAGUACGCGAGUGUUGAAUAUUAUUAGGGAUCGACUCCCUCUUCAUUAUGACCUGGUUUUGUGCCACACGGAAUCUUUGCAUGCUGCUGAAUAUUCUUUUCAGUUGUGCCCGUGGGACCACAGCGGAAGAUGCAGACCAGGGCUUGUCUCAGAGGGUAUGGACUACAAGAAGAUCCCCCAGAAGACACAGAAUGGGAAGCAGCACCCACCACCACCCUUGGGAGCUCCGGUCACCCCGAGCUGGGAGGACAAGGCUAUUGGCAACUUCCAUCUUAUGUGAAAAUAAAGGGCCCAGAGCUUUGAGCCCUCAUGCUUUGCUCCAGAAGUCCACGGAUACCAUGUCACAGAGGACAAGGGCAUCUGGGUAAGCUGGAAGCGGCACGACCUCUCCCUCUCUUUGUCGCAAUUCGGGAAGGAAACGUUUCUGCACAAACGUGAAGAAAUACAGCAGACUUGCCUUAUUUCGGACCACAGGAGGGCGACGUUCAGCUGCAGCUGAAACAAACAGGACUUCCCAAAACAGGUGUGCCGUUUACUGAUGUAAAAAUAAAUGAGAUGAAGCAAAUUAGCUAAUUUUAGAGUGGUUACAGACCGUGGCUAUUGUUUGAUGCAUCGGUCUGCAUCCACUCUGACUUAGCAUUUUGUUGAUUUGCGGUUAAUCGGUAAUUGCCCUAAAUCACUUUGUCAUCCUUGAGCAAAGGUAAUAAAUUAUGGAGGAUAAGGCAUAGUUGUAUGCUAGAUUGUGGCUCUGUUACUUGUUUAGUUACUUUGUCAUUUUGUCAUCCUUAACCGUGUUGCACAGUUAAGUGUUAUAUUGAUGGGGAAGAGGACUGGGGAAGGAUUAUGAUUUUGAAUAGAGAAAUUACCUAUGAGUGCGUGUGUGUUAAGAAAAGUGUUACAAGGAUUGCAGGCAGAGAACACAAACGGUAUGGUAUGAAAACUGCACAAUACUAAUUUUUGGAGAGCAACGUACCAACAAGAGUGUAUUAAUGCAGGUGACUUCCAGUAGUCUUGGUAAUGUAGCAAAUGUAGUCGCAUGAAGGUUUUUGUUCAGCAAGAGCUUGUAGUCUCUGUACAUACUGAUCACAGCCUGGAACCAGGUUAUCAGGAAGGCUGAAUGCUCCAUGAAGGCUCCAUGGAGGAGGAGUUGAGAAUCAAAGUAGGAGAUAAGCCAGGUUUGAAGUGGCUGAGAAGCAAGAUGAGAAGAAUUUGGCACCAAAAGCUGUCUGAUACUUCAGAUAUGCAAAAAAAAAAAAAACAAAAAACAUUUAUUUCCGGGUACAGGUAGUGGAAUUGCCUAGAAAUAGUAAGCAGGAGCAGAGCUGGAACAUAGCACAACAGUCUGUGAAUAUAGGAUAUAGAGCAUCCUACAUACCUCAGGGCAAACGAAGCUGAUGAGAGCACCACACAUAAUGCUGAAGCAUAUCGGAUAUGGAGGGUUGUAGGAUGAUGACAAACACUUUGCUGGAACAGGUUGCCCAAGGAGAUAGCGGAUGCCCCAGUCCUGGAGGUGUUCAAGGCCAGGAUGGAAGGGGGAGCCUGGUCAUCGGUCACCUUGCACGCAGCUUGAACUUAGAUGAUGAUACCCAGGCCAUUCUACGAUUCUAUCACGGAUUCUAUAUAAAGUAGGUAAGAAAAACAGCAUAGAAGAUGCUGUCUGUUAGCAAUUUGCACAGAAGGAUGCUGAUAGCAUAGCAAUGUUGUUAGUAAAAAAAAAAUAAAAAUCGAGAGGGAUAAAUCAGACAAAGGCUUUUACUAAAAGCUGUGUAUCAUACGGGAUAGAUAAAUGAAGAGUGCAGGUAUUGUGCCUGGGCUGCACGGAUCCUAGUAAAUAACAUCGUUAAGAGAUCUUAGGUCAGUUGUUGUGCAGUAUCACGGAGGGAAAAUAACAAUGACUAAGACUGAAAUAGGAGAAAAGACCUGUAAUGCAAUUAAAUUUUCUUAUGAGCAAAUGCCAGUAGUUGGACACACCUUUACUCAAAAAUUAAAAAGGGGAAAAUGUACAUCAAUGAACAGAUGAAUAAAAUUUAUUUCUCUAACAGUGAAUAUGGUUGAAGUAAUAAAAAAAUAUUCAGUGUGUUGAAGAAGAAGAAGAAGAAGAAGAAGAAGAAGAAGAAGAAGAUGAAGAAGAAGAAGAAGAAGAAGAAGAAGAAGAAGAAGAUGAUGAAGAAGAAGAAGAAGAAGAAGAAGAAGAAGAUGAUGAAGAAGAAGAAGAAGAAGAUGAAGAUGAAGAUGAAGAAGAAGAUGAAGAUGAAGAUGAAGAUGAAGAUGAAGAUGAAGAUGAAGAAGAAGAUGAAGAAGAAGAUGAAGAUGAAGAAGAAGAUGAAGAUGAAGAUGAAGAUGAAGAUGAAGAUGAAG